GAUAUUCUAGUUAAUUAUCUAUAUAACAUAAGCUUGUCAAGCCUAAAUAACCCUAGGGUGAAUAUCC
rnacentral:tRNA from 1 species